GUAGGUGGCAAGCGUUGUCCGGAAUUAUUGGGCGUAAAGCGCGCGCAGGCGGUUCUUUAAGUCUGAUGUGAAAGCCCACGGGCUCAACCGUGGAGGGUCAUUGGAAACUGGAGAACUUGAGUACAGAAGAGGAAAGCGGAAUUCCACGUGUAGCGGUGAAAUGCGUAGAGAUGUGGAGGAACACCAGUGGCGAAGGCGGCUUUCUGGUCUGUAACUGACGCUGAGGCGCGAAGGCGUGGGGAGCAAACAGGAUUAGAUACCCUGGUAGUCCACGCCGUAAACGAUGAGUGCUAAGUGUUAGGGGGUUUCCGCCCCUUAGUGCUGCAGCUAACGCAUUAAGCACUCCGCCUGGGGAGUACGGCCGCAAGGCUG
rnacentral:rRNA from 1 species